UACGAAGGGGGCUAGCGUUGUUCGGAAUCACUGGGCGUAAAGCGCACGUAGGCGGACUUUCAAGUCAGGGGUGAAAUCCCGGGGCUCAACCUCGGAAUUGCCUUUGGUACUGUAGGUCUCGAGUCCGGAAGAGGUGGGUGGAAUUCCUAGUGUAGAGGUGAAAUUCGUAGAUAUUAGGAAGAACACCGGUGGCGAAGGCGGCCCACUGGUCCGGUACUGACGCUGAGGUGCGAAAGCGUGGGGAGCAAACAGG
rnacentral:rRNA from 1 species